rnacentral:rRNA from 1 species
UACGUAGGGUGCGAGCGUUAAUCGGAAUUACUGGGCGUAAAGCGUGCGCAGGCGGCGCGUUAAGACAGGUGUGAAAGCCCCGAGCUUAACUUGGGAAUUGCGCUUGUGACUGGCGUGCUGGAGUGUGGCAGAGGGAGGUGGAAUUCCACGUGUAGCAGUGAAAUGCGCAGAUAUCGGGAAGAACACCGAUGGCGAAAGCCCUCUGCUGGGCCGAAACUGACACUGAGAGACGAAAGCUAGGGGAGCGAAUGGG